GACGAACGCUGGCGGCGUGCUUAACACAUGCAAGUCGAACGGUGAAGCGCCUUCCUUUUUGGUGGGUGUGGAUGAGUGGCGAACGGGUGAGUAACACGUGAGUAACCUGCCCCCUUCUUCUGGAUAACCGCAUGAAAGUGUGGCUAAUACGGGAUAUUCUGGGUCUGUCGCAUGAUGGGUCUGGGAAAGAUAUUGUUUCGGUGGGGGAUGGGCUCGCGGCCUAUCAGCUUGUUGGUGGGGUGAUGGCCUACCAAGGCGGUGACGGGUAGCCGGCCUGAGAGGGUGGACGGUCACACUGGGACUGAGACACGGCCCAGACUCCUACGGGAGGCAGCAGUGGGGAAUAUUGCACAAUGGGCGCAAGCCUGAUGCAGCGACGCCGCGUGAGGGAUGGAGGCCUUCGGGUUGUGAACCUCUUUCGCCAGUGAAGCAGGCCUGCCUCGUUUGUGGGUGGGUUGACGGUAGCUGGAUAGGGAGCGCCGGCUAACUACGUG
rnacentral:rRNA from 1 species